UGUUGCCGCCUUCUAUAAAAUGCUGCAGGUGCCAAAUGCGAUGGAAGCUUGUCAAGAGCUGAUUGCCUCCUGCAGGAGGCUGCCACGGGCACAACGCAUACGGGCAUGUCGACAGUCCAAUCCAGCACCGUUUCCAUGCAUUGCGUCGUGUUACAAUUUGUGAGGGCGGCUCCGCCGCCGGAGAGGGUACCUGCAAGCAGAGAACUGAGGUCUUCGUGCGGGGUUGGGAGGGCGAGCCCGAACCGCCGCAAAGCCACGCAAAGAUAGUGCGUAGCCAGGGACGACGGCGUCAGUACUGACAGAACGAAACUCGCAAAGUAGCGAGCGCGACACAGCGCUCUGCUACUUAACCGGGCCCACCGCCCAUGCCGCGCAUGGGCCCCAAACAACAAACACACACACGCCACGCCCCUUCGGGGCCCACAACUGUGCACACUCCGAGCGCAGGAAACCUUGGUUUCCGACAACUCGCUGCGCUCGAGCGGAAACCAUCAGUUUCCAUGCAUUGCGUCGUGUUACAAUUUGUGAGGGCGGCUCCGCCGCCGGAGAGGGUACCUGCAAGCAGAGAACUGAGGUCUUCGUGCGGGGUUGGGAGGGCGAGCCCGAACCGCCGCAAACCUUCCACAUAAUGCGCGAGGGGUCGACUGGCUGCUGGCGACUGGGCGACACAAAAGCAUCCAGGUGGGUGGCAGCGGAGGGAACCCGCGGCUGCUCACGAAG
rnacentral:lncRNA from 1 species